UUUUAUGGAGAGUUUGAUCCUGGCUCAGAGUGAACGCUGGCGGCGUGCCUAAUACAUGCAAGUCGAACGAUGAAGCUUCUAGCUUGCUAGAAGUGGAUUAGUGGCGCACGGGUGAGUAAGGUAUAGUUAAUCUGCCCUACACAAGAGGACAACAGUUGGAAACGACUGCUAAUACUCUAUACUCCUGCUUAACACAAGUUGAGUAGGGAAAGUUUUUCGGUGUAGGAUGAGACUAUAUAGUAUCAGCUAGUUGGUAAGGUAAUGGCUUACCAAGGCUAUGACGCUUAACUGGUCUGAGAGGAUGAUCAGUCACACUGGAACUGAGACACGGUCCAGACUCCUACGGGAGGCAGCAGUAGGGAAUAUUGCGCAAUGGGGGAAACCCUGACGCAGCAACGCCGCGUGGAGGAUGACACUUUUCG
rnacentral:rRNA from 1 species